rnacentral:rRNA from 1 species
GCAGUCGAGCGGACAGAUGGGAGCUUGCUCCCUGAUGUUAGCGGCGGACGGGUGAGUAACACGUGGGUAACCUGCCUGUAAGACUGGGAUAACUCCGGGAAACCGGGGCUAAUACCGGAUGGUUGUUUGAACCGCAUGGUUCAAACAUAAAAGGUGGCUUCGGCUACCACUUACAGAUGGACCCGCGGCGCAUUAGCUAGUUGGUGAGGUAACGGCUCACCAAGGCAACGAUGCGUAGCCGACCUGAGAGGGUGAUCGGCCACACUGGGACUGAGACACGGCCCAGACUCCUACGGGAGGCAGCAGUAGGGAAUCUUCCGCAAUGGACGAAAGUCUGACGGAGCAACGCCGCGUGAGUGAUGAAGGUUUUCGGAUCGUAAAGCUCUGUUGUUAGGGAAGAACAAGUACCGUUCGAAUAGGGCGGUACCUUGACGGUACCUAACCAGAAAGCCACGGCUAACUACGUGCCAGCAGCCGCGGUAAUACGUAGGUGGCAAGCGUUGUCCGGAAUUAUUGGGCGUAAAGGGCUCGCAGGCGGUUUCUUAAGUCUGAUGUGAAAGCCCCCGGCUCAACCGGGGAGGGUCAUUGGAAACUGGGGAACUUGAGUGCAGAAGAGG